CGCGUAGGCGGGCUGAUCAGUCCGGGGUGAAAGUUUACGGCUUAACCGUAAAAUUGCCUUGGAUACUGUUGGUCUUGAGUUCGGAAGAGGAAAGUGGAAUUCCUGGUGUAGCGGUGAAAUGCGUAGAUAUCAGGAAGAACACCGGUGGCGAAGGCGGCUUUCUGGUCCGAAACUGACGCUGAGGCGCGAAAGUGUGGGUAGCGAACA
rnacentral:rRNA from 1 species